rnacentral:rRNA from 1 species
UACGUAGGGGGCAAGCGUUGUCCGGAAUCAUUGGGCGUAAAGCGCGCGUAGGCGGCCAGAUAAGUCCGGUGUGAAAGUCAAGGGCUCAACCCUUGAAUGCCGGCGGAUACUGUCGGGCUAGAGUCCGGAAGAGGCAAGUGGAAUUCCCGGUGUAGCGGUGAAAUGCGCAGAUAUCGGGAGGAACACCUAUGGCGAAGGCAGCUUGCUGGGACGGUACUGACGCUGAGACGCGAAAGCGUGGGGAGCAAACAGG